CUCAAAUAGAAAAUGAAACUCUUAUCUUUCGGACUUGUGGCUUUGGCCUUCGUUUUGGGUUAUGCCAAUGCCGAACCUUGCAAUUUGGGGGGAGGUGGCGGAAGUGGUAAUGGCAAAUAGAGAGUCGUGAGUUCCUGGACGAUGACAUUCAAACCCAUGGUGUAAACAAUGCAUAUUACUUCUAUUCUUCUACAAAAUUCGAAAAUAAAUAUAUUCUUCCCUGAAGUUAUGAAAAGAUAA
rnacentral:sRNA from 1 species